rnacentral:rRNA from 1 species
GACAGAGGGUGCAAACGUUGUUCGGAAUUACUGGGCGUAAAGGGCGCGUAGGCGGUCAGCACAAGUCAGUUGUGAAAUCUCCGGGCUUAACUCGGAAAGGUCAACUGAUACUGUGCGACUAGAGUGCGGAAGGGGCAACUGGAAUUCUCGGUGUAGCGGUGAAAUGCGUAGAUAUCGAGAGGAACACCUGCGGCGAAGGCGGGUUGCUGGGCCGACACUGACGCUGAUGCGCGAAAGCCAGGGGAGCGAACGGG